rnacentral:rRNA from 1 species
GUAUCCUGGCUCAGGAUGAACGCUAGCUACAGGCUUAACGCAUGCAAGUCGAGGGGGCGAGCAUGGUCUUAGCUUGCUAAGGCCGAUGGCGACCGGCGCACGGGUGAGUAACACGUAUCCAACCUGCCGUCUACUCUUGGACAGCCUUCUGAAAGGAAGAUUAAUACAAGAUGGCAUCAUGAGUCCGCAUGUUCACAUGAUUAAAGGUAUUCCGGUAGACGAUGGGG